AAGACCUUGCGCUUUUGGAGCGGCCGAUGCCUGAUUAGCUUGUUGGUAAGGUAAAAGCUUACCAAGGCUUCGAUCAGUAGCUGGUCUGAGAGGACGACCAGCCACACUGGGACUGAGACACGGCCCAGACUCCUACGGGAGGCAGCAGUGGGGAAUUUUGGACAAUGGGGGCAACCCUGAUCCAGCCAUGCCGCGUGAGUGAAGAAGGCCUUCGGGUUGUAAAGCUCUUUCAGCCGGAACGAAACGGUUACGGUUAACACCCGUGACUACUGACGGUACCGGAAGAAGAAGCACCGGCUAACUACGUGCCAGCAGCCGCGAUAAUACGUAGGGUGCGAGCGUUAAUCGGAAUUACUGGGCGUAAAGCGUGCGCAGGUGGUUUUGUAAGUCAGAUGUGAAAGCCCCGGGCUCAACCUGGGAACU
rnacentral:rRNA from 1 species